rnacentral:rRNA from 1 species
AUUUUGACUAUACAAAGGUAUUGUAAUAAGACUUUAAUUGAGUGCUAAAAGAAUGGAAUUACAAAAAAAAACUUUAUUAAUUAUAAUAAUAAAAUUUAAUUUUAUUUGUGAAGAAGCAAUAAUAAAAAUUAAGGACAAGAAGACCCUAAGAAUUUUAUAAAUUUUAUUUAGAUUAAUACUAAAUUUUAAUUUUUUAAUUGGGGCGAUUAAAAAAUAUUAAGAACUUUUUUUUAAAAAAAAAGAACCAUUAUUAGUGGUAAAAUGGAAAAAUACUCUAGGGAUAACAGCGUAAUAAUUUUUGAUAGUCCAUAUAGACAAAAUAGUUUGCGACCUCGAUGUUGGAUUAGGAUUCUUUUAUAAUGAAGAAGUUAUGAGAAGAAGUUUGUUCAACUUUUAAAUUCCUACAUGAUCUGAG